AGUGAACGCUGGCGGUAGGCCUAACACAUGCAAGUCGAACGGCAGCACAGUAAGAGCUUGCUCUUACGGGUGGCGAGUGGCGGACGGGUGAGGAAUACAUCGGAAUCUACUUUUUCGUGGGGGAUAACGUAGGGAAACUUACGCUAAUACCACAUACGACCUACGGGUGAAAGCAGGGGACCUUCGGACCUUGCGCGAUUGAAUGAGCCGAUGUCGGAUUAGCUAGUUGGCGGGGUAAAGGCCCACCAAGGCGACGAUCCGUAGCUGGUCUGAGAGGAUGAUCAGCCACACUGGAACUGAGACACGGUCCAGACUCCUACGGGAGGCAGCAGUGGGGAAUAUUGGACAAUGGGCGCAAGCCUGAUCCAGCCAUACCGCGUGGGUGAAGAAGGCCUUCGGGUUGUAAAGCCCUUUUGUUGGGAAAGAAAAGCAGCAGGUUAAUACCCCGCUGUUCUGACGGUACCCAAAGAAUAAGCACCGGCUAACUUCGUG
rnacentral:rRNA from 1 species